UACGUAGGGUGCAAGCGUCGUCCGGAAUUAUUGGGCGUAAAGAGCUCGUAGGCGGUUUGUCGCGUCUGCUGUGAAAACUCGGGGCUUAACUCCGGGCCUGCAGUGGGUACGGGCAGACUAGAGUGCGGUAGGGGAGACUGGAAUUCCUGGUGUAGCGGUGAAAUGCGCAGAUAUCAGGAGGAACACCGGUGGCGAAGGCGGGUCUCUGGGCCGUAACUGACGCUGAGGAGCGAAAGCGUGGGGAGCGAACAGG
rnacentral:rRNA from 1 species